UCCCUAAAUUGAAUUGGAAUUCAAAAUCCCUAAUUGCAAUCCUCUUCUUCGAUACACUUCCACGACAGAUGAAUCAAAAUCACUGAGCUCCUUUCCCUUCCCUCUGAAUCACGAUCACGGUAAUGGUGGUGCCUCCAUUUGGUGGUGGUCGUCUGGUCUGAGGCGUGGUGGUCGUUCGUCGUGUGUCUACGGUGUGGUGGUCGUUCAUCGUGUGUCUACGACGUGGUGGUCGUUCGUCGUCGCGGCAAAACGGUGUAUUCACACCCCAUAGGUUUGAGCGAUCUGCACCUGUAUUCACACAUCCUCUGCAGAUUCUGAGUUUCCAACCCUAAGACGUUUGUUUGACUGUCGUCUGGUCUGUGCGUGCUCAUUGGUGGUCUGAGUGGUCUACGACGAUGCUAGAGUCGACGUUGGUGGCCAUUUGGUAGUGUUGUGCACUGGUCUGCGACGACGUUUGGCCUCUCUACGUUAAUUGGAGUUUCUGUGGUGAGAAUUUUGGUGUUUCUCAAUUACCUUUUUCUUGUUAAAUGUUUGAGUCGAUUGUAAAUUAGUUUUAGCAAGGUGUAAUGCAGCGUCUGGUAUUUGUUCUUGAAUGGUGGAAAUUGUUGUUAAGGUCCUUGAAUAUACAGUUAUUCGAAACUCUAAUCAGUCCUUGAGUGUGUUUUCCAUUUGUUAAAUUAGUUAUCGAGAUUUGUGAGGCAAGUACUAAUUUGACUUGAGCAAUGCAUAUUCAGGGAAUCUAAGUGCAAUUUUCAUCAUUGAAUCACUAGCAUGACCAGCCGUAACGGUCUUUUUGGAUUUUUUUCUCAUAGGCACUUGUAAGAAAAAAAUGAAAUAAACUUUUGCAUAAACCCACAAGCUAAAUUUAGCUUAUGCAUAAAUUAAUUAUAAAAGCCCUUUCAUACUUGUUUCUCUAAAUAGAUUAUUUUUUACUUUGUACUUAUAGAGAAGUUUGCCUCUUCUUCUAGAAGCACUUGUGUGAAAUUUAUUCAAGCAGGUCAUCUUUGAGGGACUAUUUUGGCUAUUUGCUCUGAAUAUUUUCUUUUUUGGAUUUCCAUUAAUUUUUAUAGUGCCGAACAUGUCCAAAUUCUUCUUUGGGAACUAGCCAGAACAUUGCAUCUCUGUGGUGGCUGCAUUAAGCUUGGAAACUUUGGCAGCAACUUGCUGUUUGGUUUACCUCCUUUGGUGCCCGGGUUAAGUUUAACACUUGCUGAUGUUGGUGGCCAUUUGUUAGUGUUGUGCACUGGUCUGCGACGACGAGGUGUUUUUUUGGUGUUUUCCUCCUCUACAAUCAUCCCCUGCCUGCUGCAAUCAUUGUCUGCUGCAAAUAGCAUGGAAUCUGAAACUAUUAAUCGAAGUGUGAAUGUGAAUGUUAAUGUUGAUGAUAAUAUACAUAAUCAAAUUGCUAAUGACCCACAAGAACCACCUUCUGUAAACAAUGAAGACAGUGAAGUUCAACAAGAAA